AGAGAUGCUUUAGAUGAUGGCACUUUCUUAUUGAUAAAUAUAGCUGACCUCAGUUUUCAUCAAAUUAGAAAUAUGGAAAAUUGGAAUAAGAAACUCCUUGAAGCUGCUACAAAAGGAAGAGUAGAAGAAUUGAAGCUUUGCUUAGCAAACGGAGCUAACAUUGAUUAUCGAGAGGGUUAUGGAUGGACAGCAUUAAUGUUGGCUGCCUGGGGAGGAC